GUAGAUAUAGUCUAAUUAAGACAUUAGGUUGUGGUCCUAAAAAUAGGGGUUAGACCCCUCUUAUUUACC
rnacentral:tRNA from 1 species